GGUACUCAGUGCCAGCAUUCCACUAGGAAGCCUGUCAUCACAAGCUGCAGAUCAACCUGCAGGGAGCCUUUGAAUACCACCAGCAGUACAUACAUUUGAUUCCUCAGGUGGACCUGGGGAGAGGCGAGAGGCAGAGAGCGCUGUGGCUGCACGGGAAAACCACACCAGAGUUACGGAUGGAUCCCGGCAUCGGGACCAGCUCCAGCCCCAAGCUCCAGGGCUGCGGGACGUGCGAGGCUGCGGCAGGAGGACCAGCAGGAGAGGAUGGCCAUGAGCACACAGUUUGGAAACAGCACACGUCUGGAGGCACAGCAUCCAGGUGACAGUGGAGAGAGCAGUGAAGAAGCCUACAAAUUAAACAGUAAAUAAAAGCACAACUGGUGGGAGGAAUAAAAAUGACAUUUCAGAAUGAAUGUGCGUCCCUCACUGAAGUCACCACUGCAGCGGUGAUCAGCACAUGAGCUGAUCAAGACUCCAGGAACUGCUUCUUGGUCUCCCACACCAACAGGAGAGGCCCACAGGAAGAUACCAGCAGGGAGGUAGUUGGUGGGAUGGUCUGUCUCCUCUUCCAUACAGUCCCAGGCCAGGAAAACACACAAUUGAUUAUUCAACCUAGAGUUUUCCCCUCUAUCCAAAGAGAGUAACUUCACAUGGUGGAAAGCAUUAAAGGUGAAUACAGUGACAUAGCUCAUAAAGUGGAGGAGUCUUGCUUGGUGAACAACACAAAUACAGUUGAUGUUUGGAGACAUGGUGGAACCAUCUCUAUUCAAGAGGAUGCUCUAAUUUUCCCCCAACCUGUCAAAAUCUGAAGAGACCCUGCCUUGUCUUUGUUCCUGGCUAGGUUGAGGCUAAAUAAGGGACUUUGCCAGGUCCAGACCUGUGAGACACACCUGAACUGCUGUGUAUGGAGACUCAUGUUUAUGGAUCCUCUUACCAACGUCUGUAUGGCCCUUGUGACAGCUUCAGGUGUUAGGGAGGUGAAAGUGGUUAAUCCUCAUGGCACUCACUUGAGGUGUCAGCUCUUGAAGUUUGCAGAGGCACAGACAUGGACAGGAGUGAGGAAGGAGGGCACCUCUGCGCUGGCACUGCCUGGCUGGCCAUAGGUGCUGGGACUCCCAUUGGGCUGGGGUGAGGGAUGGAGCUGGGGGUGCUCCCUGCCAGUGUGGGACAGGGUGGAGGACAACCUGAAGGCACCCAAGUGGAGCAGGAAGACCAGAUCCUGAGCUGCCGCCAUGCUCCUCAGGGAUGCAGGAAAGGAGUGUGGGAGCUGUUUGCUGCCCAUUCCCAGGCUGUGAAGUACUGGCAUCCAUCAGCAGUGACAGUGCCAACACUAAUCCAGAGCAUCCCCAACUUCAUAUUGGUAUUGUGCUGCACUCCAUCACUAUUAUCACCACUGCGUUAGGGAUAGAUGAGUAACCUCAGGUCCUGCUCCCAACACACAGAUCAAAGCUAAAGGAUUACUAUCUACCAUAAUGGGGUGAAAGGAACUUCUCCAUCCAUACCGGAACAUGGGAUGCUGAUCAUAUUUCUACACUAGCCCACUAGUAGCAGGGCUUUAAGAAGCUGAAAAUGGCUCUAAAAAGUAAUUAUAUUUU